rnacentral:rRNA from 1 species
CUGCGAAUGGCUCAUUAUAUAAGUUAUCGUUUAUUUGAUAGUACCCUACUACUUGGAUAACCGUGGUAAUUCUAGAGCUAAUACAUGCUAAAAAUCCCGACUUCGGAAGGGAUGUAUUUAUUAGAUUAAAAACCAAUGCCCUCUGGGCUCCCUGGUGAUUCACAAUAACUUUUCGAAUCGCAUGGCCUUGCGCCGGCGAUGGUUCAUUCAAAUUUCUUCCCUAUCAACUUUCGAUGUUUGGGUAUUGGCCAAACAUGGUCGCAACGGGUAACGGAGGGUUAGGGCUCGACCCCGGAGAAGGAGCCUGAGAAACGGCUACUACAUCCAAGGAAGGCAGCAGGCGCGCAAAUUACCCAAUCCCGACUCGGGGAGGUAGUGACAAUAAAUACUGAUACAGGGCUCUUUUGGGUCUUGUAAUUGGAAUGAGUACAAUUUAAAUCCCUUAACGAGGAACAAUUAGAGGGCAAGUCUGGUGCCAGCAGCCGCGGUAAUUCCAGCUCUAAUAGCGUAUAUUAAAGUUGUUGUGGUUAAAAAGCUCGUAGUUGAACCUUGGGCCUGGCUGGCCGGUCCGCCUCACCGCGAGUACUGGUCCGGCCGGGCCUUUCCUUCUGUGGAACCUCAUGCUCUUCACUGGGCGUGGCGGGGAAACAGGACUUUUACUUUGAAAAAAUUAGAGUGCUCCAGGCAGGCCUAUGCUCGAAUACAUUAGCAUGGAAUAAUAAAAUAGGACGUGUGGUUCUAUUUUGUUGGUUUCUAGGACCGCCGUAAUGAUUAAUAGGGACAGUCGGGGGCAUCAGUAUUCAAUUGUCAGAGGUGAAAUUCUUGGAUUUAUUGAAGACUAACUACUGCGAAAGCAUUUGCCAAGGAUGUUUUCAUUAAUCAGGAACGAAAGUUAGGGGAUCGAAGACGAUCAGAUACCGUCGUAGUCUUAACCAUAAACUAUGCCGACUAGGGAUCGGACGAUGUUAUUUUUUGACGCGUUCGGCACCUUACGAGAAAUCAAAGU